rnacentral:rRNA from 1 species
CACGUACCGUACGAACGUUAUUCGGAAUCACUGGGCUUAAAGAGUCCGUAGGCGGCUUUAAAGGUCAGGUGUGAAAUCCCACGGCUCAACCGUGGAACUGCGCUUGAAACCAUGAAGCUAGAGGGAGAUAGAGGUGAGCGGAACUGAUGGUGGAGCGGUGAAAUGCGUUGAUAUCAUCAGGAACACCCGUGGCGAAAGCGGCUCACUGGGUCUCUUCUGACGCUGAGGGACGAAAGCUAGGGGAGCGAACGGG